CCCUACGGGGGGCAGCAGUGGGGAAUAUUGCACAAUGGGGGAAACCCUGAUGCAGCGACGCCGCGUGAGUGAAGAAGUAUUUCGGUAUGUAAAGCUCUAUCAGCAGGAACGAGACAAGACGGUACCUGACUAAGAAGCCCCGGCUAACUACGUGCCAGCAGCCGCGGUAAUACGUAGGGGGCAAGCGUUAUCCGGAAUCACUGGGUGUAAAGGGAGCGUAGGCCGGCUUUUAAGUCAGCUGUGAAAGUCCGCGGCUCAACCGUGGAAUUGCAGUUGAAACUGGAGGCCUUGAGUGCACACAGGGA
rnacentral:rRNA from 1 species